rnacentral:rRNA from 1 species
ACUCCUACGGGAGGCAGCAGUGGGGAAUAUUGCACAAUGGGCGCAAGCCUGAUGCAGCAACGCCGCGUGAGCGAAGAAGGUCUUCGGAUCGUAAAAGCUCUUUUCUUAGGGAAGAAAACUGACGGUACCUAAGGAAUAAGCACCGGCUAAAUACGUGCCAGCAGCCGCGGUAAUACGUAUGGUGCAAGCGUUAUCCGGAAUCACUGGGCGUAAAGGGUGCGUAGGCGGUUUUGCAAGUCAGAAGUGAAAGGCUACGGCUCAACCGUAGUAAGCUUUUGAAACUGCAAGACUAGAGUGCAGGAGAGGAAAGUGGAAUUCCUAGUGUAGAGGUGAAAUUCGUAGAUAUUAGGAGGAACACCAGUGGCGAAGGCGACUUCUGUACUGUAC